UGCAGUCGACGAUGACUUCUGUGCUUGCACAGAAUGAUUAGUGGCGAACGGGUGAGUAACACGUGAGUAACCUGCCCUUAACUUCGGGAUAAGCCUGGGAAACCGGGUCUAAUACCGGAUACGACCUCCUGGCGCAUGCCAUGGUGGUGGAAAGCUUUAGCGGUUUUGGAUGGACUCGCGGCCUAUCAGCUUGUUGGUUGGGGUAAUGGCCCACCAAGGCGACGACGGGUAGCCGGCCUGAGAGGGUGACCGGCCACACUGGGACUGAGACACGGCCCAGACUCCUACGGGAGGCAGCAGUGGGGAAUAUUGCACAAUGGGCGAAAGCCUGAUGCAGCGACGCCGCGUGAGGGAUGACGGCCUUCGGGUUGUAAACCUCUUUCAGCAGGGAAGAAGCGAAAGUGACGGUACCUGCAGAAGAAGCGCCGGCUAACUACGUGCCAGCAGCCGCGGUAAUACGUAGGGCGCAAGCGUUAUCCGGAAUUAUUGGGCGUAAAGAGCUCGUAGGCGGUUUGUCGCGUCUGCUGUGAAAGCCCGGGGCUCAACCCCGGGUCUGCAGUGGGUACGGGCAGACUAGAGUGCAGUAGGGGAGACUGGAAUUCCUGGUGUAGCGGUGAAAUGCGCAGAUAUCAGGAGGAACACCGAUGGCGAAGGCAGGUCUCUGGGCUGUAACUGACGCUGAGGAGCGAAAGCAUGGGGAGCG
rnacentral:rRNA from 1 species